ACGGGAGGCAGCAGUGGGGAAUAUUGGACAAUGGGCGCAAGCCUGAUCCAGCCAUGCCGCGUGAGUGAUGAAGGCCCUAGGGUUGUAAAGCUCUUUCGCACGCGACGAUAAUGACGGUAGCGUGAGAAGAAGCCCCGGCUAACUUCGUGCCAGCAGCCGCGGUAAUACGAAGGGGGCUAGCGUUGUUCGGAAUCACUGGGCGUAAAGGGCGCGUAGGCGGCCGUUCAAGUCGGGGGUGAAAGCCUGUGGCUCAACCACAGAAUGGCCUUCGAUACUGGACGGCUCGAGACCGGAAGAGGUCAGUGGAACUGCGAGUGUAGAGGUGAAAUUCGUAGAUAUUCGCAAGAACACCAGUGGCGAAGGCGGCUGACUGGUCCGGUUCUGACGCUGAGGCGCGAAAGCGUGGGGAGCAAACAGGAUUAGAUACCCUGGUA
rnacentral:rRNA from 1 species